CGCGGGAGCGCGCGGCGGUAUUUAAUGGCCGGCAAGGCCCUGCUCUGUCCUUCUGUCCGCCGGCUGUGGGCGCGUGUGUCCCGAGGAAGCGGCGGGCCCUUCAAUGGCCCCGAUGUGCAGGAGGCCCGGCGCGGCAGGCCCGGGCAGGGCCAGCGCUGGCGGCCUGCGCUCACGCCUUGGGACGCCUAUGGGUGACGGGCACACCGAGCUCAGCGCUCCUCCUACAGCAUGGGGCUGAGGCCUCACAUAGCAACCUCAUGCUUGAAAUGUUUUAGACAUGGGUAAUCACACCUAAAUGUGAAGCAAUGCUCAGGACUUCUUAGGAAUAAAUAAUGCCUUCUACUGGAAGGGAUGAAGACAACAUGUGCCAGGAACUGACAUUAAACAUCAGUUUAUGAUUUCCUGAGUGGAUGAUUUCUGACUUCAUACAAGAUGAUUCCAGUUGUCACCUCUAAGUAUCUUGGAAGUAGAAUUGAGACAAGCAAUGGCUUAAAUGAAAUGUCUUCAAUGAUCAUGUUGAAACAGGCAUCUCACCAUUUGUUGAAACAGAUUUCCUAACAAAAUCUGUAAUUUGACUAUGUUUGUGGAUUAAUUGAAAUAAAUUAUGAGUAUUAAUUAAAAUAAGAAUAUGCUACCAAAA